GACGAACGCUGGCGGCGUGCUUAACACAUGCAAGUCGAACGGUGAAGCGAGUGCUUGCACUCGUGGAUCAGUGGCGAACGGGUGAGUAACACGUGAGUAACCUGCCCAUCACUCUGGGAUAAGCACUGGAAACGGUGUCUAAUACUGGAUACGACCAACCCUUGCAUGGGGUGUUGGUGGAAAGAUUUAUCGGUGAUGGAUGGACGCGCGGCCUAUCAGCUUGUUGGCGGGGUAAUGGCCCACCAAGGCGACGACGGGUAGCCGGCCUGAGAGGGUGACCGGCCACACUGGGACUGAGACACGGCCCAGACUCCUACGGGAGGCAGCAGUGGGGAAUAUUGCACAGUGGGAGAAAGCCUGAUGCAGCGACGCCGCGUGAGGGAUGACGGCCUUCGGGUUGUAAACCUCUUUCAGCAGGGAAGAAGCGAAAGUGACGGUACCUGCAGAAGAAGCACCGGCUAACUACGUG
rnacentral:rRNA from 1 species